rnacentral:rRNA from 1 species
ACUCCUACGGGAGGCAGCAGUGGGGAAUAUUGCACAAUGGGCGCAAGCCUGAUGCAGCCAUGCCGCGUGUGUGAAAGAAGGCCUUCGGGUUGUAAAGCACUUUCAGUCGUGAGGAAGGUAGUGUAGUUAAUAGCUGCAUUAUUUGACGUUAGCGACAGAAGAAGCACCGGCUAACUCCGUGCCAGCAGCCGCGGUAAUACGGAGGGGUGCGAGCGUUAAUCGGAAUUACUAGGGCGUAAAGCGCAUGCAGGUGGUUUGUUAAGUCAGAUGUGAAAGCCCGGGGCUCAACCUCGGAAUUGCAUUUGAAACUGGCAGACUAGAGUACUGUAGAGGGGGUAGAAUUUCAGGUGUAGCGGUGAAAUGCGUAGAGAUCUGAAGGAAUACCGGUGGCGAAGGCGGCCCCCUGGACAGAUACUGACACUCAGAUGCGAAAGCGUGGGGAGCAAACGA